rnacentral:lncRNA from 1 species
UGCAUCCUUGGGUGCUACGAGAACCUUCUCUGGCUUUGCUGGAUGGUGAGUGUGACUCUUCUUGUCCUCACUUGGACUCCAUAAUAACAGUCUUUAACUCGGCUCUGCACUUGGCAAUGGAGGUGAGACCUCUAAAAGUUGCCGCGCGGGUCUGCACACAGCCUCAAGGCUUUUCGGAAUUGUGAGUGACUUGAGGCUGUGUGUGAUCAAAUGGCUUUUAUUCUCACGCAUUGCUUCAUUUCCUAUAGGAGCCGGGCAUGGUAAUGUUCUUGAGAAUGGCAAAGGAAUGAAAACACGAGGUGACCUUCAGCAAAUCCCUCUCUUCUCUUUCAACCCAGGUCUUUCAAGCCAGAGUCACAGUUUGGAGAAUAAAUUAUAUGGUCACCCUAUCCAGGAGGGUUGAACGCUGCAGAUGCUAUCUGGAAACCAAGACUGUCAAUGUCACAGCUUGUCAGGCCUCACACAAUUGCUAUUUGGAAACCAUCUAUGGACAAGAGAAAGUGUGCGCACAGAGAAGGAAUGCAAGAGGGUGAUCAUGUGGAACCCGGAUGGGAUGCUCAGCUGGCGACAGAAGGCUUGAAGACAAGCAAUUAGAGUCCCGUUACAGAGUCCUGCUCCUGCAGGGAUGGCCCUUCUGAAGAUGGGAUUAGUGGUGCAAUGUAAGAGGCUAAGAGAAGACCCACAGUGACACUCCAGUCUCCUCUUCUCCAGGAAUGAAUACGUGUGUGAGAACACUCAUCAGCCAUUCUUACCCUGGAGGAUUUGAAGAAAGAGCCCAGACAGGAGGCCUUGAGGAUGGGCAAAAACUCUCUGAAUCCCGAAUCCACCACCUGCCAGCUGCUCAGCCCCAGGAACGUUACUUCACACCAUGGGACUUGGUGGGACCUGGAGACCUCCCUUUCCAAACCCUCUCUCUCUUUCAUUGACCAUCCCCUCAGAUGGGCUUGCUGAUGGCCCUCCUUGGUGGUCUCUUUGUUCUCUGACUGUGGGAGCCACUUGCUCAGCACCUGGUCACCUCACCUGCUCCCCAGAGCCCUUCCACAUGUCACUGUGUCACCCUUCAGGGGACACAGCCUUGAGGGCAGGGCAAGGACUUCUCCCGGCCCAUUUCAGAGCUCUGCUUCCUCUUGGCCUUCCCUCAAAGACCCUGACUUUAUCUGGGGGUACAUUUAGCUCUCAGUCCCUCGGUCACUGAGCCUUGGGGAAGCGUGGGUCCUCAGCUCUCUACGGACUCCUCCAGGGCUCCAGGGAGCUGCUGCUCUAGAACCAAUUAUCCAUAAGCCGUUCAUCCUAUCUCCUGACACACGUGCUGCGCAUGUUCCCAGUGACUCUCUCACUACCUGGGGCCACAGGUGAGUCAACCAAAGCCCAGAGAGUCACACAGAGGACGGAGGCCCAAUGAGGACCAAAGCCCCCGUCUCCUGAUUCCUCAUUUAGGCUGUGUCUCUUGAACCUGCCGUUGUCUCCCUGACCACAAAAAAGCACCAUUUCACAGAAGCUCUCAGAAUUAACAUGCUUUUCUUCAAAGAAAGUUAAAUGAGGACAAUGAUGCCUUGCCCACUCCCUCCCAGAGGUGUUUGGAGACUCUACUGAGAUAAUAUGUAUGACAGUUCUUUGAAAAGCAUAAAGUGCAGUAGAAACAUGAGAUUCAAUUAUAGCCAAAUCUCUGCUGAGUCACGUGGCAGCUCCAGCAUGUUUUUUUAAAAAAAAUUUAACCUGCAGGAGAAAAUGAAGCAGAGCCUUCCUGACAGAGGAUGCUAACACCUUGAGCAUGAGGAAAUCCUUCCAUGCAGGGCCAGCUCCAAGCUAAACAGGGGAGAAUUGUUUGGGAGGGGUUCUCGUUUCCUCCUUCCUACCCCCUCCCUCAUGCAGAGCAUUCAACAGGCGCUAAUUUCACUUUAUAAAUGGAAACUGAAUCACCGCAUUCCAGGCUGGAAAAUGAUUGGAAAUGAGAGUACGUCCGAGGUCAAGCCCUCGCCACUUCCUCCCUGGAUAGGAAGUGGGCGCUCCAAAUGGUUCUUGCAGGGCCCCUCAUGAUAAAAGGCCUGCUUUGGCCCUGGGCUGGGAGAGCUCUAUGCUGUUUUCAAACCUCACUUUAAAGGAGAGAGAGGAAAAAGAAAAACCCGGAUGUCCCUCUUUAAACAGGGAUGUCAGCUCAGGAAGGAGGGGCCGUGCAGCUGCCUUUCUAUGGGGGCUGUCAACAGCAUAAGAAUUGUUUAAAAUCUGUUAUAAACACAGGCAUAGAGUGAUGGUGAGUUGGGGAGUGGUGCACCCCCUCUCAACCUCUGCAUAGGGCCUCUCAGGGCUAUCUGAGCCCUGCUCACACAACUAGCCAUUCCCCUGUUGUGAAGACACCAAGGAGACUCGGGCUUCUGGUGGACAUAUCUAAGUAUGGUGUAGAGGUCACCAGAGAUGAAAUGUGACCAUGUGCCUGCCUGUGGUCCCGUCUUGGGAGCAGAGGCAGGGCUGGAGUUGGGAAAUGGAGCUGUGCUUGCUGGUCUGCAUGGGGUGGGACCUCUCAAGAAUAAGGACUGGUCAUUUGCCUCAGGCUCCUUAGCUCCUGGCUCCAGGCUGGAUGCAGAGCAGCACCAGCAAUGCCGCUAAGCAGAAUGUGAGGUUAAAGAGCAGCAUUAGUUGGCCCCUCUGGUCUACAAAGUGAAUCAGAAACAGAAGCCAUCACCAUGGGAGAAGAAUUUGUAUCACAAGGCACUCUCUGCCCAGCUUAUUUCCAGGAGGGUAACUCGAUGGAACCCAAACCCCAGGAGACUGGGAAACAAGCAGGUGUGGGUGAUCUGGAGAGAGGGAAGCAUGGAGUGUGCUGGAAAAGGCAGAGGCCAAACAAACCUGGGUUCAGUUGUGAGGCUCCAUGCGUAUUAGGUGUGGGAUCUCAGAUCAGGUUACUCAACCGCUUGGGGUCUCUUCCAAUUUAUAGUCCACUUCAACACCUAUAAAUUUGGCAUAAUAAUACCAAACUUUUAGAGGUACUGCUAUGAUUAGAGAUCACGUCUGGAAAUGCAAACCCAUGUUGGCUUGGAAGGUUGAAUUUGUUUCUUAAAAUAUCUGUUGCCCAAACAUAAAGAUCAAUCGGCCUCUGUCCUUGAGAAGGCUAGAUCUUAAAAAGAAAAAGAUAGCCAAGACAAAGAUAUUUUUCUCUCAUUGUAAAAGCACAGCAUACAUCUUAUAAAGCACUAGAAAGUCCACCGAAGAAUGAAUAAGCAGAAAAACCAAUCACAAAGCAGACCACUGUUAAUGUGUUGGUGUUUUUUUAGUUCUCUCUCUCUCUCUCUCUUUUUUUUUAAGUGGUUGGUCAGACACAGUGGCUUACACCUGUAAUCCCAGCAUUUUGGGAGGCCGAAGUGGGCAGAUUGCUUAAGCCCAGGAGUUUGAGACCAGCCUGGGCAACAUGGCGAAACCCCAUCUCUACAAGAAAUAAAAAAAAAUUAGCCAGGCAUGGCGGCACAGCUACUUGGGAGGGUGAGGUGGGAGAAUCACCUGAG